rnacentral:rRNA from 1 species
UACGGAGGGUGCGAGCGUUAUUCGGAAUCAUUGGGCGUAAAGGGCGCGUAGGCGGCCUGAUAAGUCAAAGGUGAAAUCCCUCGGCUCAACUGAGGAACUGCCUUUGAAACUGCCAGGCUUGAGGCCGGGAGGGGGUGGCGGAAUUCCCAGUGUAGCGGUGAAAUGCGUAGAUAUUGGGAGGAACACCAGUGGCGAAGGCGGCCCCCUGGACCGGUUCUGACGCUGAUGCGCGAAAGCGUGGGGAGCAAACAGG